rnacentral:rRNA from 1 species
AUGCAGCUCUGCGAGAAAUAUGUCAUGCAACUUUUGGGGAUGUCCUUCCUUCAGUAUUCAAAGACACCUAUGAAUGAUAGAUGGCGAGACAAAGAUGUUACAGUGUUCACGAUGCAUGACCUAGUGCAUGAUCUCGCAAGAGCAAUCUUGGCCGAUCCAGUAAACAAUAAGGGCAGUGUUGUGGGAAACGGAUGCCUUUAUGCAUUUCUCACAGAUUGUAGCAAGCCAUUGCAGUUAUCCGCGACUUCUUCUGCAAAUAUAAAGGCGUUGCAUUUUCUAGACUCUGGCAAAUUAGAACUCCGUGGUGAUGCCUUUUCACUAGGUACAUGCCUCCGUGUCUUGGAUUUAAGUGAAUGCCUUAUACGGAAGUUGCCAGAAUCUGUUGGUCAACUGAAACUAUUGAGGUUUAUUCGUGCUCCAAGGAUCCGAGAUCAGAUGAUUCCUAAUUGUAUCACCGAGCUCUCAGAAUUAAAUUACCUCAACCUUAGAGGCUCUCAUAAUCUCUCAGCACUGCCGGAGUCAAUUGGUGGUAUGAAAGGUCUGAUGCAUCUUGAUCUAUCAGGUUGCCAUGGAAUACGUGAACUCCCAAAAUCAUUCGCGGAACUGAAGCAGUUGGUGCAUUCACUAGUAGGAAAAGGGGCUUUUACCCCGGUUCAUAAGGGCCUUUAG